UACGUAGGCAGCAAGCGUUGUUCGGAAUUACUGGGCGUAAAGAGUGUGUAGGCGGUGCUCUAAGUUCGGUGUGAAAUCUCCCGGCUCAACUGGGCGGGGUCAGCGGAUACGGCGGCACUUGAGCAAGCUAGGGGGCAAUGGAAUUCCCGGUGUAGUGGUGGAAUGCGUAGAUAUCGGGAGGAACACCAGUGGCGAAGGCGGUUGCCUGGGGCUUUGCUGACGCUGAUGCGCGAAAGCGUGGGGAGCGAUCCGG
rnacentral:rRNA from 1 species